UAGGGCAUUACAAAAACACUGGGAAGCCAGAAAAGGUCAAAGGUGACAUAGAAGGUGUUAAAAUUGUAUCACUUGGCUCUAGGGGAGAUUGUACACUAGCAGUAUCUGAAAGUGGAGAGCUGUUUGGAUGGGGUAACUCAGAGUACAACCAGUUAGGUCUUGUCACCAAUGAAACACAGGUCAAUGUACCGAGGCAUGUCAACGUGCCGCACUGUGGUAAAGUAGUGAAGGCUGUUGCCGGUGGAUCAAUAUGUGCACUUUUAAAUGAUAAAGGGCAAGUCUUUGUUUGGGGAUAUGGAAUUCUGGGUAAAGGUCCCAAGCUGGAAAUAACCUCAUCUCCUUCGCAGAUUCCUGAGCCUAUUUUUGGAUGUAAUGAACUGUCAUCAGAUACCAAAGUUGUUGACAUAGAAUCAGGCUUAACAUACCUUGCGGCGCAAAAUGAUAAAGGUGAUAUUUACACAUGGGGAAGAAACAUCAAUGGAGUGCUGGGUCUUGGGGAAAAUAAGAAUCAAUUUUUUCCUUUACGGGUAGGUUAUAUAAUGGUU
rnacentral:sRNA from 1 species